UACGUAGGGUGCGAGCGUUUGUCCGGAAUUAUUGGGCGUAAAGGGCUCGUAGGCGGUUCGUCACGUCGGGUGUGAAAGCUUGGGGCUUAACUCCAGGUCUGCAUUCGAUACGGGCUGGCUAGAGGUAGGUAGGGGAGAACGGAAUUCCUGGUGUAGCGGUGAAAUGCGCAGAUAUCAGGAGGAACACCGGUGGCGAAGGCGGGUCUCUGGGCCGAUACUGACGCUGAGGAGCGAAAGCGUGGGGAGCGAACAGG
rnacentral:rRNA from 1 species